UGGGGAAUAUUGGACAAUGGGGGCAACCCUGAUCCAGCAAUGCCGCGUGUGUGAAGAAGGCCUUCGGGUUGUAAAGCACUUUCAGUGGGGACAAACAAGGCGGAGCUAACACCUCCGUCCCUGAUGGUACCCAAAGAAGAAGCACCGGCUAACUCUGUGCCAGCAGCCGCGGUAAUACAGAGGGUGCAAGCGUUAAUCGGAAUUACUGGGCGUAAAGCGUGCGUAGGCGGCGAGGUAAGUCAGAUGUGAAAGCUCGGGGCUCAACCCCGAAAUUGCAUCCGAUACUGCCUUGCUAGAGUAAUGGAGGGGAGUCUGGAAUUCACGGUGUAGCAGUGAAAUGCGUAGAUAUCGUGAGGAACACUAGUGGCGAAGGCGAGACUCUGGACAUUUACUGACGCUCAGGCACGAAGGCUAGGGUAGCGAAGCGGAUUAGAUACCCGCGUAGUCCUAGCAGUAAACGGUGCGCGUUUGGUGUGGGAGGAUUCGACCCCUUCCGUGCCGGAGCUAACGCGUUAAGUGUCCCGCCUGGGAAGUACGGUCGCAAGAUUA
rnacentral:rRNA from 1 species